UAUCUUUCUCCCUCUCCUUCUCUGAAAUCAAUAAAAAUAUAUUUAAAAAAAAAAAAAAAAAACCUGUUAACUAUUUUAAAAUUAGUUUUUACUUAAAAAUUUUAUUUGCUUUUCUGUAUAUUGUUGUCUACUUAAGGAAGAUUAGUCUAAUUUGUUUUGUGUCAUUUGGAUUUCUUUUAUAAAAGGAUAUUAAAACAGAAGUUUCAACUUAAAUUAUCAGUGCCUUAUGGGUAAAGGAAGUACAUAGAUACAAUAUUAUAAUUGAGUUUUUUUAAAAAAUCCUUAUUAUUCUAUUAUUAAUACGAGAUAGAAGCCACAUUUUAAGUAAGGAAAACUAUUUGCUCAGUGGUGAGAGAAUGCUGAUACAGACCUUGGUCAGAGAACAUCUGACAAAAAGAAUAUCCCACGAAUGCCACAAUGCAGGUAUCUUAAAGCCCACAUACUGACGCUCCUUGCUCCCCUGCCUCCACUCACCCAAUUGGUGAAAGAAGGGUGAGAGAUCUCAAAAGAAAUAAAGCCUUGCCAUACUGGUUUGAAGGGUUGAGGGGUCAGUUCCAGUCAAGGUCACCCACCUCAGUUGCAGGCUCAAUCAGGGAGCAUGUGGAGGACAACCAACCAUUCUGUCUCUCUCACAUUGAUGUUUCUCUCUCUCUCUGUCUCUCCCCUCCCUUCCACUCUCUCUUAAAAAAGAAAAAAUUGAAUCAAUUGAAAAGAUAUUCUUCGUUGAGGAUUAACAAAAAAAGAAAAAGAAAUAAAGCCC